UAGUCAAAUCACUAGUAAGGCACCAGGU
rnacentral:piRNA from 1 species